UUCCGGUUGAUCCCGCCGGACCCCACUGCUAUCGAGAUGGGACUAAGGUAUGCUAGUCGAACGACCAGAACUAUGUCUGUGAGUGGCAUACCGCUCAGUAACACGUAGCUAACCUACCCUUCGGACGAGGACAACCCCGAGAAAUUGGGGCUAAUCCUCGAUAGAUGUGAUGUCCUGGAAUGGUAUCACGUCUAAAGGUAUAUCAUACACGUUUGAUAUACGCCUAAGGAUGGGGCUGCGGCUGAUCAGGCAGUUGGUGAGGUAAUGGCUCACCAAACCAUUGACCAGUACGGGCCAUGAGAGUGGUAGCCCGGAGAUGGACACUGAGACAAGGGUCCAGGCCCUACGGGGCGCAGCAGGCGCGAAACCUCCUCAAUGCACUAACGUGCGAAGGGGUUACCUCGAGUGCUAUCUGAUGAAGGUGGCUUUUCCAUGGUUUAAAAAGCCUAGGGAAUAAGAGGGGGGCAAGACUGGUGUCAGCCGCCGCGGUAACACCAGCCCCUCGAGUGGUGGGGAUGAUUAUUUGGCCUAAAGCGUCCGUAGCCGGCCAGAUAAGUUUCCCGUUAAAUCCAACGUCUCAAGCGUUGGACUGCGGGAAAUACUGUCUGGCUAGAGAGUGGGAGAGGUU
rnacentral:rRNA from 1 species